rnacentral:rRNA from 1 species
GACGAACGCUGGCGGCGUGCUUAACACAUGCAAGUCGAACGGUAAGGCCCUUCGGGGUACACGAGUGGCGAACGGGUGAGUAACACGUGGGUGAUCUGCCCUGCACUUCGGGAUAAGCCUGGGAAACUGGGUCUAAUACCGGAUAGGACCACUGCCUGCAUGGGUGGUGGUGGAAAGCUUUUGCGGUGUGGGAUGGGCCCGCGGCCUAUCAGCUUGGUGGUGGGGUGAUGGCCUACCAAGGCGACGACGGGUAGCCGGCCUGAGAGGGUGACCGGGCACACUGGGACUGAGAUACGGCCCAGACUGCUACGUGAGGCAGCAGUGGGGAAUAUUGCACAAUGGGCGCAAGCCUGAUGCAGCGACGCCGCGUGAGGGAUGACGGCCUUCGGGUUGUAAACCUCUUUCAGCACCGACGAAGCGCAAGUGACGGUAGGUGCAGAAGAAGGACCGGCCAACUACGUGCCAGCCGCCGCGGUAA